UGCUUAUGCAUUGCUUUUAAUAAAUUCGAAUUAUUUGAUCAUGUUUCAUUUGAAUUCAAAUUCACAUUAUGAUAACUGAUGAAAUGCAACAACAUCCUUUUCCGGCCCUCAACCACCUGACUCAUAAACCCACUGCGUGACCUGGCAUCUUAAUCUUUGUGUAAACUCCCAGGCGCCAGAGGCAGAAACAUCAGAUUAGACGAACAAGAAAAUGACUUUUGAAUCAACAAAACAAUUAGCCACGAAAUGUGACGGUGAUCAGUCCUCCCUCUAUACCAGAUCCUCCUGAGGACGCUUGAUGUCAUCUUGUCCUCCUGGUCAUUAUGCUACUUGUUCCACUCAACAAUACUGCCCUCUAGCCUCUUGCUGCUUCCCUACUCGAAAUGCCUGGCUGGCCUUUUCUAUCAAACCAUUGUGAAAUUGUGUGCAGAAAGUCCUUUCCUUAAUACUCCUCCUACUAGCGGUGUCUUUGGGACACAACAAAGGAUUCCUCCAGACAACUUGGUUGAUGGACUUUUAUCAGAAAUCAAAGUUCAUGUAAAACAAAAGAUGUUCAAGUGUCUGUGUUCCAUUUCAUUUUAAAGGGACACUUCACUGAAAAUGCAGACUAAAAUUAUAAGAAAUCUGUCUAGAACCUUACCUGUUUGUGCCCUGGCCUACCUUGAACAUCCUUGCCAGACACGUAAUUGUUAGCUAGCUAAAUGGAGCUUGUGGAGGAUAUGUUCAAUGAGUGUAUUUAGCACAUGAGUGGUUUGCAUGCGCAAUGACAGCUAACGUUAGCGUUAGGCCUACAAGUGUUACUGACUGGCUGGGGCUGUAAUUAGCCUAGUUAUACGUGUCUGCAUUGUGUCUCUGUCAUGUUCUAGAGGGUAUUAUUUUUCAAGAGCACAAUUCCCGCUUGCAUUUUAAGCCACGCCUACCCAAACUCUGAUUUGUUGGAAGAGUUGAAAAGCACCCUCCGUCAUGACUGUCCUGAUCAGGUCAGGUUACAGGAGACCACAACCCUACAGAUUAUCUCUCAACCCCAACAGAAGAGGAGAGAUCUAGGGGUCUGAAGAUGUGUGGGGUUUUAUGACCCCUCACGCCCCUGGUAAAUUUCAGGCCACAGACAAAUUCCUUUGUCCUGUUACUAUGGAGAACCAGCCUCAGAACAUUAAACAUGAAAUAAAGGGACAAUGGUUUCCGUCAGCCACAAUGGUGGUCAUGACAAUAGAUGGAAUAUGAAAAUGUAUGUCAUUUUUGUUUUGUUAUUAAAGGUUAAUAGAUGACGUUAUUACGAAAACAUUGUAAUGUGAAGAGUUUUCCUAGUAUAUGUUUCAUGUUUAUACAUUGUACGUUGUAUGGAAAAUAUCCAAAUCAAAGAGAAUGUUUUGGGGAAGAUGAAAUGUUAAGUUGGUUGUCUAAAAUUGGAUUUGAAUCAAAUCCAGACCUUGCCUCAUUAACUUGGUACGCCCAGAGAAUUGCCCUAAAGGCGGUUACGCCCACUUCUGACCCAAGGGUAUUAAACCUGUGAGUAUAGAAUUUACAGGACGAUGUGGCCCCAGCUGCAGCAAGGUCUAAAAAGUCAACGAACCCAGAACGCAACGCAAGUUUGGAGGCAAAGAAAUCCUUUUCUACCCAAGCUACGGAUGAGUAGCUGUGUCUAAGCGGGUGAAUUCAAGUCGAACCACCUAGCCUCCAUCUUCUAUCGAAUCGUGGUAUCUAAAGGGUUUCAUUCCUAUGCUGUGAGCUCUGAGGUACCGAGCUGUCUGUCCUCAGAAGACCCCUUCCAGAGCAAAGGGUGAGGGAACAGACUCCUAAGCCCAAAAGGACACAGACAGUGGGAGGACGAUCAGGGAGGUGCGCCGGAGUAGUGUAUCAUCGAACAGCUGAAGGCCUACGCAGAGAAUCCUCGGAGAUCAUCCCCACGUAAUUACAUCAUUAUAUUCUGACCCAUAAGAGCGGCAGUUUGGGGCAAGGCUAGGGUUAGAAUAGCAUAGCUGACAAUUUUCACCCAAAUGUAUAUUUAUUUUGUGUACUUUCUUUUUUUCUCUCUCUUUUGAAAUCCUCAUUGUGGGUAACAUGCGCCAUAGUGUGUUGGCCCGUUAUACUAAGUUCUAAUCAAUAGCCUAUAAUGUGUUUUGUCUAUGUGUAUCUUUUAUCAUCAUUUUAGAUUUUUAGUAAAUAAAUAUUCAACUAAGAUUGGUGUGGUACGAAUUCAUUGGUGAGACCCGGGUCCGUGCAGAUUCACGGGCUAUAUGACUUUCUGAACGAGAUUGGUAGAGGCAACUGGUUAAUUAGCGGCUGUUGUAAAAUUGAUAUUCUGAUAUUCUUAGAGUUAAUUUGGGAAAUAGAAACUCAAUAAAAACUAGUUUUCCCAUGGUGCCCCAGGUUAAUGAGUUAAUAAUUGCUUGA
ensembl:lncRNA